rnacentral:rRNA from 1 species
ACAGCCCUCUGGGUCGUAAACUGCUUUUAUUCGGGAAUAAACCUCAUUACGUGUAGUGAGCUGAAUGUACCGAAGGAAUAAGGAUCGGCUAACUCCGUGCCAGCAGCCGCGGUAAUACGGAGGAUCCAAGCGUUAUCCGGAUUUAUUGGGUUUAAAGGGUGCGUAGGCGGCUUUUUAAGUCAGGGGUGAAAGACGGUAGCUCAACUAUCGCAGUGCCCUUGAUACUGAAGAGCUUGAAUGGACUAGAGGUAGGCGGAAUGUGACAAGUAGCGGUGAAAUGCAUAGAUAUGUCACAGAACACCGAUUGCGAAGGCAGCUUACUAUGGUUUUAUUGACGCUGAGGCACGAAAGCGUGGGGAUCAAACAGGAUUAGAUACCCUGGUAGUCCACGCCCUAAACGAUGAAUACUCGCUGUUAGCGAUACACAGUUAGCGGCUAAGCGAAAGCGUUAAGUAUUCCACCUGGGGAGUACGGUCGCAAGAUUGAAACUCAAAGGAAUUGACGG